CUAGUAUAAGCACUAUACGGCGAAACUGCGAACGGCUCAUUAUAUAAGUUAUCGUUUAUUUGAUAGCACCUUGCUACUUGGGUAACCGUGGUAAUUCUAGAGCUAAUACAUGCUAAAAAUCCCGACUCCGGAAGGGAUGUGUUUAUUAGAUUCAAAACCAAUGCCCCCUGGGCUCACUGGUGAUUCAUGAUAACCGCUCGAAUCGCACGGCCUUGCGCUGGCGAUGGUUCAUUCAAAUUUCUUCCCUAUCAACUUUCGAUGUUUGGGUAGUGGCCAAACAUGGUUGCAACGGGUAACGGAGGGUUAGGGCUCGACCCCGGAGAAGGAGCCUGAGAGACGGCUACUACAUCCAAGGAAGGCAGCAGGCGCGCAAAUUACCCAAUCCCGACACGGGGAGGUAGUGACAAUAAAUACCGAUAUAGGGCUCUUUUGGGUCUUAUAAUUGGAAUGAGUACAAUUUAAAUCCCUUAACGAGGAACAAUUGGAGGGCAAGUCUGGUGCCAGCAGCCGCGGUAAUUCCAGCUCCAAUAGCGUAUAUUAAAGUUGUUGUGGUUAAAAAGCUCGUAGUUGAACCUUGGGCCUGGCUGGCCGGUCCGCCUCACCGCGUGCACUGGUCCGGCCGGGCCUUUCCCUCCGCGGAACCCCAUGCCCUUCGCUGGGCGUGGCGGGGAAACGGGACUUUUACUUUGAAAAAAUUAGAGUGCUCCAGGCAGGCCUAUGCUCGAAUACAUUAGCAUGGAAUAAUGAAAUAGGACGCGCGGUUCUAUUUUGUUGGUUUCUAGGACCGCCGUAAUGAUUGAUAGGGACAGUCGGGGGCGUCAGUAUUCAACCGUCAGAGGUGAAAUUCUUGGACCGGUUGAAGACUAACUACUGCGAAAGCAUUCGCCAAGGAUGUUUUCAUUAAUCAGGAACGAAAGCUAGGGGAUCGAAGACGAUCAGAUACCGUCGUAGUCUUAGCCAUAAACUAUGCCGACUAGGGAUCGGGCGAUGUUAUUCUGUGACUCGCUCGGCACCUUCCGAGAAAUCAAAGUGC
rnacentral:rRNA from 1 species